AAGAUUCAGAGAGGGGACACAUUACCUGAGCUGCAGCAGUGCAACAAGUGUUACAGGAAUUUUCUGCUUGACCAGCAUGUUUAAACCAGCCAAACUGGUCAAAUUAAAAAGUCAUCUUCAAAUCCACUUCAGCAAGGCAGUUGUCUGUGGAGGCUAUAGUAAACAUUUUCCCAACCGAUUAUUGGUGUGAUUAUAUUCUAUAUUCUAUAAUAUUAUAUAAUUUUAUGGUGGACUCUUUUUCUGGAGAACUUUUCUGGAGAUAGUGCAGUAACCCUACAAGAGGCCCUUCCAAGUGGAUAACAGGUUACGCUUGUGAGGAGAUCCCAGUACUCUGACAGAAGUUGUGAAAUGACUCCAUUACAAAUGACAUCUGCUCAGGGGGCCAGUGGAAGAGCCUCGUUUCCUUAGAAUGGAGGAAGAGGACAAGGAAAAGGCCCUCAACAAUCUCCUGGAACAAUCAGAACUUCCAGAGUGCCCUUCAUAUUUCAUCUUGUGUUCAGGGGAGUUAUUUUUGUAGGAUUGUCAUGACAAAAUGGGCCUAAGAGUAAAUUGUUCAUUUGAUACAUUUUAAUUUGUAUUUAUGCAAGAUUGUCAUGACACAAUGUGCCCAAGAGUGAAUUGUUCAUUUUGUA